GAGCCCGUAGCUCAAUCGGUAGAGCACCGGCCUUUUAAGCCGGGUGUCGCUGGUUCGAUUCCAGCCGGGCUCA
rnacentral:tRNA from 1 species